rnacentral:miRNA from 1 species
UUUCCGAGCUUAACGCAUAAUUGC